rnacentral:rRNA from 1 species
GGGUCAGUAGGUUGGUCGUGCCACCGGUACGUACUGGUCUCACUGAUUCCUCCUUCCUGAAGAACCGUAAUGCCAUUAAUUUGGUGUUGCGGGGAAACAGGACUGUCACUUCGAAAAAUUAGAGUGUUUAAAGCAAGCUAACGCUUGAAUACAUUAGCAUGGAAUAAUGAAAUAGGACGAUCGAUCCUAUUUUGUUGGCUUCUAGGAUUGACGUA